UCCUACGGGAGGCAGCAGUGGGGAUUUUCCGCAAUGGACGCAAGUCUGACCGAGCGAUGCCGCGUGCAGGAUGACGGCCUUAGGGUUGUAAACUGCUUUUAUUGUCUACUAAGAACUGAAGAGACUUUGAAUAAGAGGUUGCUAACUCCGUGCCAGCAGCAGCGGUAAUACGGAGACCUCGAGCGUUAUCCGGAAUCAUUGGGCGUAAAGCGUACCGAUCGGUGGUCUAGUAAGUCUACUGUUAAAGACCGAAGCUCAACUUCGUGUUUGCAAGAGAUACUACUAGACUUGAAGAGUAAAGGGGUUGCUGGAACUCUACAAGUAGCGGUGAAAUGCGUUGAUAUGUAGGGGAACACCUAAAGCGAAGGCAGGCAACUGGGUACUUCUUGACACUGCUAGGACGAAAGCGUGGGUAGCGAAUGGGAUUAGAUACCCCUGU
rnacentral:rRNA from 1 species